CUGAAGAUCAAGAUUUUUGUGUGGCAGCUUCUCAGAGAUCGUUUACCUUCAAGGACCGAGCUGCUGAAACGCCAUGGUCCGGGCAAUGGCCUUUGCCCCCUUUGCCUCGUCUCGGAAACGGGAACACACAUUUUGUUCUCGUGUGUAGCAGCACAUGCACUUUGGUGCUUUGUUCGUGAGGCUCUCGGACCGGAGUGGGAGGCCCAUGACCUUGCAGAGUUUCUGCAGGUAAGGGCCACUCAGGUUGGCCGUAAGCGCUGA
rnacentral:rRNA from 1 species